CCUACGGGAGGCAGCAGUGGGGGAUAUUGCACAAUGGGGGAAACCCUGAUGCAGCAACGCCGCGUGAGUGAAGAAGUAUUUCGGUAUGUAAAGCUCUAUCAGCAGGGAAGAGAAUGACGGUACCUGACUAAGAAGCCCCGGCUAACUACGUGCCAGCAGCCGCGGUAAUACGUAGGUGGCAAGCGUUGUCCGGAUUUACUGGGUGUAAAGGGCGUGCAGCCGGAGAGAAAAGUCAGAUGUGAAAUCCACGGGCUCAACCCGUGAACUGCAUUUGAAACUGUUUGCCUUGAGUGUCGGAGAGGUAAUCGGAAUUCCUUGUGUAGCGGUGAAAUGCGUAGAUAUAAGGAAGAACACCAGUGGCGAAGGCGGAUUACUGGAAGAUAACUGACGGUGAGGCGCGAAAGCGUGGGGAGCAAACAGGAUUAGAUACCCCUGUAGUG
rnacentral:rRNA from 1 species